UUCGCUCGCACGACCUCCUCCUUCUCCUCCCGCACGACCUCCUCCUCCUCCCGCGCCGUUCGCCUCCCGCAACCGCGCCCAUCGCCGCAGGCUCGCGCCGAGCCACGGGAAGCCGCACCCUUCACUGUCGCCUCACGCCGCCGGAUCCACGGGAGCCGCCGCGGGUCGCCGCCUCCCCACCCGCGGGAGCCGCCCCGUCGCGCCCUUCGCCGCCUCCCGCGGCGCCUCGUGUCGCCGCCUCCCCAGUCGCGGGAGCCGCGGCGCCUCGUGUCGCCGCCUCCCCACCCGCGGGAGCCGCCCCGUCGCGCCCUUCGCCGCCUCUCGCGGCGCCGCGUGUCGCCGCCUCCCCAGCCGCGGGAGCCACCCCGCAGCGGGUCGCUGCCUCCCCAGCCGCCGGAGCCACCCCACCGCGCCCUUCGCCGCCUCUGGAGCCGCAGCUUGGCCUCCGUCACGCCGCCCCUCCGCCUCCGUCGCAAGUAAGUUUCUUUUUGCAAGAUGCCUCUAGGAAGAACUCAACCUACUACAAGCAUUGGAAUCUAUGUUAGCAGAGAACUGGACGAUCAUGGCAAGAUGUGCUGAUUCAGCAGGCACGCUCCUAAUGGAUUCAUCAAUGGUAGUAGAGUGCCACCAAUGGAUUCAUCUAUGAGCUAUGGGUUGUCAAGGCUACAGUAGUAAUUAUAAGCUUUUAACUUCUGUUAAAUUUGGGUGGAUCGAUGCCUCGCCGAACUAACUUAUGAAAUUGGAGAUCAGUUGAUUUGAUAAUCGUUACCUGGCUGGCAAUCCCUGACAAGUGAACUUAAUACUACGUGCAUGACAACUACACUUUGGUCUGCACUCUUCAUCUACAACUCAAAGUUAGUAAACUCUUCUUUGUUUCUUUUUUGGAAUCCACUUAAUGCAAUAGAGUUUCAGAAACUAAAAGCCUGUUGUAAAUUAUGGCAAUUCUCUGACUUUUUUUGGUAAUGCCUAAUGCCUCCAGGUCCUAUUUGAAUCACAGUAAAACCGUAGCAGAGAUAGAAGUAUCAGAUCACCGGGGCAUGAAAAUGUUCACCGCUGUGUUCAAUGAAACCCACUGUACUAUUAGUCAGUACUUGGAUUUGAGCAAUCAAAAUAUGCCUUGCAUGAAGAAGAUGAAGGAGUAUAAAUUUAGGUGUUCUUUCAAGUAAGAUUUGAUAACUGACGAAACUGAGUAAAAGUAUUGCCAUAGUGUGUGACAUACCAAUCUGCAACAUACCAAACUGAGUUUCUUUUGCACUUCCAACCAAAGGGCAGAGGAUUUUGUUCAGGGGAUUUCCUAUUGCUGAACUGUACAGGGGAUUUUGUUCAUGCCUUACGGUUCUCAAUCCUAUACAUUAGGGUUCUGCACAUGGGAUUUUGUUCAUGCAUGACUCACUGUACAAUAGGAAUUGUUGACAAUUCAUAAACAAUAACAAAAUCACAGGGUCAGAUCGAGGACCGAUUGGAGGUAACAAAUACAGUAUAUGUUUUCCGUAGCGAAGGUGUGGGUUGUUAUUAAAGGGUAGUUCUAACAUCAGAAAUCAAUCCAAUUUAGGCUAUGAUAGAACAAUAAUGUUGUAUGUGUAACUGCCAUCAAAUAUUCAUGAAAGUUAUCCUUAAUAUGACCAGCAAUCAACACCCACAUACAAGUUUCUCUAUUUACCUCAUCAUGUUUCCCUGAAACUUGAUGCACAUGCCAAUGUGAUUCAGAGUUUUUAGUGAGGCUGCAGAUUCUAGAAAUGGGUUAAUCAUAUUCAUUAUUCCUACACAAGACAAUCCACCGGAUAUUAGGUAUUGUUAUUGUUUCAUUAGUGUCCCGAGGCCCUCACUUAUCCAGAUCAAAUCUCUAAAAAAAGCGCAAGGUGUGAACACAGAAGAAAUUGACAGCAAACUGUAAACCAGUAACCAAGAUCUAAAUUUCAACACUAAAACGGUCAUCUAUACUCAGAGACCAAGCACAAACCAAUUUCGUAUUCUCUAACCAAAAAUUUACCAGCAUAGACGUUUAGGCGCUGGCAUGGCAAUGUUUCUGUACAGAGUACUUUCUACAACAGGAUUACAUGUAUUCUCAGCGUUCUUUGUUGCUGUGAUCCUCUGAUUGGGUCGUCGAUUUUGUCGCUGAUUUGGGGAUUGUUCUCCUAGACUGAAGAUUGAUCUGUGUUACCUCUCUUUGAAAAGAAGAGAAAAUGGGGACUUUUGAUUUGUGUACUAGAAUUGUCCCUGAUCCUUUCUUACAUAAUGGUCAAAAUCAGGUCGUGCUACACAGUCAUGGAGCUGGAGCAUCAGGUUAUGUUUCUAAUUAAUAUCGCAUGUGUUGGUGACAGGUAUGUAAGUUUGCAGGCGAGUGCAAGGUAAGUAGCAGACAGGCUAGAUGCACUCUGUUUGUGACGACGGUCAGAUGAAUUGUGCAAGGCACAUGCCAGCUUGUUCAUGUUCCGUGCACACGUUAAUGCUGCAAAAGGCCAAAAGCGAUGCACUGAUCAUGUUCCAGAUUAUCAAGAAUGAUGAGCUCCAAGAACCCAGUUCUGAAACUUUUGUAACUGUAUAUCUUGGUAAAUUGAGGGGCUCUAAUGUUGCAAUAAAAAGAAAUGGCAGAUGUUUCCCCGGGAAGCCAUCUCAGCGAGACAAAAUGCAUGUCAAUUCUCUCUUGAGAGGGGUCAAUUAGAUUGGACAAUGGCUUCGCUGAGAACCAGGGAGUAUCAAGGUCUGCACAAGCACAUGUGGCUUCUUCAAUAAUAAGACCUUGAUUUGCUCACUAGAAGAUAGAUAUGGCAAGGAGGGCGCAUCGAGAACAAAGCAUCUUCUAGCCAAAAGAAGGUGAGUCUGUACGUGUUGUCUUCGUGGAUUGGUGGCAUGAUGCCAAUGUAUGCAUGGUGGAUUGAAUGUGGCGCUAAAAGCAUGGAUGGGCGACUCAUCAAGAGUAAGAAAAAAGGCAUACGCCAGUUUCAGUGAUAUAGAACCCGUUUGUAAAACAAAAGAAUCUUUUGAUCAAAUGUUAUUUCAUAUUUUUUUUUUGCUACCAUGGCAACGCAGACACAUUACCUAUUCAAAUUAAAAAACAGUAUAAUUGAGCUACCUAUGAGCGAUCAAAGCGAUUUGAGGUUCUCAGCCUUCUUAAAUUUGAUUC